UACGUAGGUGGCAAGCGUUACUCGGAAUCACUAGGCGUAAAGCGCAGGUAGGCGGUUUGGUAAGUCUUUUGUGAAAGCUCCCGGCUCAACUGGGAGAGGUCAAAGGAAACUACUAGGCUAGAGUGUGGUAGGGGAUACCGGAAUUCCUGGUGUAGCGGUGAAAUGCGUAGAUAUCAGGAGGAAUACCUAUGGCGAAAGCAGGUAUCUGGGCCAUCACUGACGCUGAGCUGCGAAAGCUAGGGGAGCAAACAGG
rnacentral:rRNA from 1 species